rnacentral:rRNA from 1 species
GCAGUCGAGCGAGCUUGCCUAGAUGAUUUUAGUGCUUGCACUAAAUGAAACUAGAUACAAGCGAGCGGCGGACGGGUGAGUAACACGUGGGUAACCUGCCCAAGAGACUGGGAUAACACCUGGAAACAGAUGCUAAUACCGGAUAACAACACUAGACGCAUGUCUAGAGUUUGAAAGAUGGUUCUGCUAUCACUCUUGGAUGGACCUGCGGUGCAUUAGCUAGUUGGUAAGGUAACGGCUUACCAAGGCAAUGAUGCAUAGCCGAGUUGAGAGACUGAUCGGCCACAUUGGGACUGAGACACGGCCCAAACUCCUACGGGAGGCAGCAGUAGGGAAUCUUCCACAAUGGACGAAAGUCUGAUGGAGCAACGCCGCGUGAGUGAAGAAGGGUUUCGGCUCGUAAAGCUCUGUUGGUAGUGAAGAAAGAUAGAGGUAGUAACUGGCCUUUAUUUGACGGUAAUUACUUAGAAAGUCACGGCUAACUACGUGCCAGCAGCCGCGGUAAUACGUAGGUGGCAAGCGUUGUCCGGAUUUAUUGGGCGUAAAGCGAGUGCAGGCGGUUCAAUAAGUCUGAUGUGAAAGCCUUCGGCUCAACCGGAGAAUUGCAUCAGAAACUGUUGAACUUGAGUGCAGAAGAGGAGAGUGGAACUCCAUGUGU